rnacentral:rRNA from 1 species
UACGAAGGGGGCUAGCGUUGCUCGGAAUCACUGGGCGUAAAGCGCACGUAGGCGGAUUGUUAAGUCAGGGGUGAAAUCCUGGAGCUCAACUCCAGAACUGCCUUUGAUACUGGCGAUCUUGAGUCCGGGAGAGGUGAGUGGAACUCCGAGUGAGAGGUGAAAUUCGUAGAUAUUCGGAAGAACACCAGUGGCGAAGGCGGCUCACUGGCCCGGUACUGACGCUGAUGUG